GACGAACGCUGGCGGCGUGCUUAACACAUGCAAGUCGAACGGUAAGGCCCUUCGGGGUACACGAGUGGCGAACGGGUGAGUAACACGUGGGUGAUCUGCCCUGCACUUCGGGAUAAGCCUGGGAAACUGGGUCUAAUACCGGAUAGGACCACUGCCUGCAUGGGUGGUGGGGGAAAGCUUUUGCGGUGUGGGAUGGGCCCGCGGCCUAUCAGCUUGUUGGUGGGGUGAUGGCCUACCAAGGCGACGACGGGUAGCCGGCCUGAGAGGGUGACCGGCCACACUGGGACUGAGAUACGGCCCAGACUCCUACGGGAGGCAGCAGGGGGGAAUAUUGCACAAUGGGCGCAAGCCUGAUGCAGCGACGCCGCGUGAGGGAUGACGGCCUUCGGGUUGUAAACCUCUUUCAGCACCGACGAAGCGCAAGUGACGGUAGGUGCAGAAGAAGGACCGGCCAACUACGUGCCAGCAGCCGCGGUAA
rnacentral:rRNA from 1 species